GACGAACGCUGGCGGCGUGCUUAACACAUGCAAGUCGAACGGAAAGGCCCUGCUUUUGUGGGGUGCUCGAGUGGCGAACGGGUGAGUAACACGUGAGUAACCUGCCCUUGACUUUGGGAUAACUUCAGGAAACUGGGGCUAAUACCGGAUAGGAGCUCCUGCUGCAUGGUGGGGGUUGGAAAGUUUCGGCGGUUGGGGAUGGACUCGCGGCUUAUCAGCUUGUUGGUGGGGUAGUGGCUUACCAAGGCUUUGACGGGUAGCCGGCCUGAGAGGGUGACCGGCGACCUUGGGACUGAGAUACGGCGCAGACUCCUACGGGAGGCAGCAGUGGGGAGUAUUGCACAAUGGGGGGAAGCCUGAUGCAGCAACGCCGCGUGCGGGAUGACGGCCUUCGGGUUGUAAACCGCUUUCGCCUGUGACGAAGCGUGAGUGACGGUAAUGGGUAAAGAAGCACCGGCUAACUACGUG
rnacentral:rRNA from 1 species